AGGACGAACGCUGGCGGCGUGCUUAACACAUGCAAGUCGAACGAGGCCCUGCCUUCGGGCAGGUGACCUAGUGGCGAACGGGUGAGUAACACGUGGGCAACCUACCCUCAGCUCUGGGAUAACCCCGGGAAACCGGAGCUAAUACCGGAUACGACCAGGGACGACAUCGUCCCUGGUGGAAAGUUUUUCGGCUGAGGAUGGGCCCGCGGCCUAUCAGCUUGUUGGUGGGGUAAUGGCCUACCAAGGCGACGACGGGUAGCCGGCCUGAGAGGGCGAUCGGCCACACUGGGACUGAGACACGGCCCAGACUCCUACGGGAGGCAGCAGUGGGGAAUAUUGCGCAAUGGGCGAAAGCCUGACGCAGCGACGCCGCGUGAGGGAUGAAGGCCUUCGGGUUGUAAACCUCUUUCAGCUCCGACGAAGCGAAGUGACGGUAGGAGCAGAGAGCACCGGCAACUACGUGCCAGCAGCCGC
rnacentral:rRNA from 1 species